CAGUUAUCGUUUAUUUGAUAGUACCUUACUACUUGGAUAACCGUGGUAAUUCUAGAGCUAAUACAUGCUAAAAACCUCGACUUCGGAAGGGGUGUAUUUAUUAGAUAAAAAACCAAUGCCCUUCGGGGCUCUUUGGUGAUUCAUAAUAACUUAACGAAUCGCAUGGCCUUGUGCCGGCGAUGGUUCAUUCAAAUUUCUGCCCUAUCAACUUUCGAUGAUAAUGUAUUGGAUUAUCAUGGUUUCAACGGGUAACGGGGAAUUAGGGUUCUAUUCCGGAGAGGGAGCCUGAGAAACGGCUACCACAUCCAAGGAAGGCAGCAGGCGCGCAAAUUACCCAAUCCCGACACGGGGAGGUAGUGACAAUAAAUACUGAUACAGGGCUCUUUUGGGUCUUGUAAUUGGAAUGAGUACAAUUUAAAUCCCUUAACGAGGAACAAUUGGAGGGCAAGUCUGGUGCCAGCAGCCGCGGUAAUUCCAGCUCCAAUAGCGUAUAUUAAAGUUGUUGCAGUUAAAAAGCUCGUAGUUGAACCUUGGGCCUGGCUGGCCGGUCCGCCUCACCGCGUGCACUGGUCCGGCCGGGCCUUUCCUUCUGGGGAACCGCAUGCCCUUCACUGGGUGUGUCGGGGAUCCAGGACUUUUACUUUGAAAAAAUUAGAGUGUUCAAAGCAGGCCUAUGCUCGAAUACAUUAGCAUGGAAUAAUAGAAUAGGACGUGUGGUUCUAUUUUGUUGGUUUCUAGGACCGCCGUAAUGAUUAAUAGGGAUAGUCGNGGGGCAUCAGUAUUCAAUUGUCAGAGGUGAAAUUCUUGGAUUUAUUGAAGACUAACUACUGCGAAAGCAUUUGCCAAGGAUGUUUUCAUUAAUCAGUGAACGAAAGUUAGGGGAUCGAAGACGAUCAGAUACCGUCGUAGUCUUAACCAUAAACUAUGCCGACUAGGGAUCGGGCGAUGUUAUCUUUUUGACUCGCUCGGCACCUUACGAGAAAUCAA
rnacentral:rRNA from 1 species